AUUGAACGCUGGCGGCAGGCCUAACACAUGCAAGUCGAGCGGAGCUGCGAACGGGGGAUUAAUGACUGGGAAUCUGCAUGGGAGUGAGGGAUAACGUCCGGGAACGGGCGAUAAUACCGCAUACUCGCAGGUGAGCCUCGGGCGGAUUAGCUAGUUGGUGGGGUAAAGGCCUACCAAGUCGACGAUGCGUAACUGGUCGGAGAGGAUGAUCAGUCACACUGGAACUGAGACACGGCCCAGACUCCUACGUGAGGCAGCAGUGGGGAAUCUUGGACAAUGGGCGAAAGCCUGAUCCAGCCAGGCCGCGUGUGUGAAGAAGGUCUUCGGAUUGUAAAGCACUGUAAGUUGUGAAGCGUUAUCAAACGAAUAAGCACCGGCUAACUUCGUGCCAGCAGCCGCGGUAAUUC
rnacentral:rRNA from 1 species